ensembl:rRNA 5S_rRNA 5S ribosomal RNA
AAUAUCAGCCAUAUCACCCUGCAGCCCAAGGCCGGUUACUUACUGAAGCUAAGCAGGGCUGAGCCUGGUCAGUACCUGGAUGGGAGACCACAUGUGAAAGCUAGGUUGCUGUUGGAA